rnacentral:rRNA from 1 species
UACGUAGGGUGCGAGCGUUAAUCGGAAUUACUGGGCGUAAAGCGUGCGCAGGCGGUUCGUUAUGUCCGAUGUGAAAGCCCCCGAGCUCAACUUGGGAAUGGCAUUGGAAACUGGCGGGCUGGAGUGUGGCAGAGGGGGGGUGGAAUUCCACGUGUAGCAGUGAAAUGCGUAGAUAUGCGGAGGAACACCGAUGGCGAAGGCAAUCCCCUGGGCCUGCACUGACGCUCAUGCACGAAAGCUGGGGAGCAACAGG